UACGUAGGGGCUAGCGUUGUCCGGAAUUAUUGGGCGUAAAGCGCACGUAGGCGGCUUAGCAAGUCGAUGUGAAAUCCCUCGGCUCAACCAAGGAAGUGCAUCCGAAACUGCUGAGCUUGAGUACUUAAGAGGAUCGCGGAAUUCCCGGUGUAGAGGUGAAAUUCGUAGAUAUCAGGAGGAACACCGGUGGCGAAGGCGGGUCUCUGGGCAGUAACUGACGUGAGGAGCGAAAGCGUGGGGAGCGAACAGG
rnacentral:rRNA from 1 species